rnacentral:rRNA from 1 species
ACGCUGACAGAAUGCUUAACACAUGCAAGUCUACUUGAACUUCGGUUUGGGUGGCGGACGGGUGAGUAACGCGUAAAGAACUUGCCUCACAGUUAGGGACAACAUUUGGAAACGAAUGCUAAUACCUGAUAUUAUGAUUUUAGGGCAUCCUAAGAUUAUGAAAGCUAUAUGCGCUGUGAGAGAGCUUUGCGUCCCAUUAGCUAGUUGGAGAGGUAACGGCUCACCAAGGCGAUGAUGGGUAGCCGGCCUGAGAGGGUGAACGGCCACAAGGGGACUGAGACACGGCCCUUACUCCUACGGGAGGCAGCAGUGGGGAAUAUUGGACAAUGGACCAAAAGUCUGAUCCAGCAAUUCUGUGUGCACGAUGACGUUUUUCGGAAUGUAAAGUGCUUUCAGUUGGGAAGAAAAAAAUGACGGUACCAACAGAAGAAGUGACGGCUAAAUACGUGCCAGCAGCCGCGGUAAUACGUAUGUCACAAGCGUUAUCUGGGUUUAUUGGGCGUAAAGCGCGUCUAGGUGGUUAUGUAAGUCUGAUGUGAAAAUGCAGGGCUCAACUCUGUAUUGCGUUGGAAACUGCAUGACUAGAGUACUGGAGAGGUAAGCGGAACUACAAGUGUAGAGGUGAAAUUCGUAGAUAUUUGUAGGAAUGCCGAUGGGGAAGCCAGCUUACUGGACAGAUACUGACGCUAAAGCGCGAAAGCGUGGGUAGCAAACAGGAUUAGAUACCCUGGUAGUCCACGCCGUAAACGAUGAUUACUAGGUGUUGGGGGUCGAACCUCAGCGCCCAAGCUAACGCGAUAAGUAAUCCGCCUGGGGAGUACGUACGCAAGUAUGAAACUCAAAGGAAUUGACGGGGACCCGCACAAGCGGUGGAGCAUGUGGUUUAAUUCGACGCAACGCGAGGAACCUUACCAGCGUUUGA